AAAAGGCCAAAAACCUUGAAAAAUUUCAUUUCUCUGGGUUUCUUAAAAAAAAACAAGCCCCUCCUUCUUUGUUUUUCUCUCUGCAGGUGCUGGAACUCCGGCGAGGGCUCCUGCCGGCCACCGCCGCCGUCACCGCCAGCUGCUGUCGCCGGCCGCCGUGUAUGGCGAGGAUCACGGAGGCCGUGGGCUGCGCGAGUAACGGCGUACGCUGCGGAGGUGGGUAGCAGCGUGUGGGAGGAGGACUGCUUCGGGUGUGCGGCGCUGAAGAGUUGCUGCUAGGGUUUUUAGGUUUAGGUGGGUUUUGGGGUAUUGGGCUAUUGGGCUUAGGGAUUGGGUUAGGUUAAUUAGUUUAUUAUUUUGGGUUUUAACAGGUUUUGGGCCGGGCAAAAAAUUAGGUCCAACAGUCCCCAUUGUGGAGCCACACCAUUGAUAAUUUCCUUUCACUUUUGUGAAAAAAAAAAUAGAAAAUGUAAGUUUUGAUGAUUUUAAAAAAAUGAAUGUACUUUUUCGAGAAAUGAACAAAGCGGAAAUUUCUAAAA